UAGGGAAUCUUCCGCAAUGGGCGAAAGCCUGACGGAGCAACGCCGCGUGAGUGAUGAAGGUCUUCGGAUCGUAAAACUCUGUUAUUAGGGAAGAACAAAUGUGUAAGUAACUAUGCACGUCUUUACGGUACCUAAUCAGAAAGCCACGGCUAACUACGUGCCAGCAGCCGCGGUAAUACGUAGGUGGCAAGCGUUAUCCGGAAUUAUUGGGCGUAAAGCGCGCGUAGGCGGUUUUUUAAGUCUGAUGUGAAAGCCCACGGCUCAACCGUGGAGGGUCAUUGGAAACUGGUAACCUUGAGUGCAGAAGAGGAAAGUGGAAUUCCAUGUGUAGCGGUGAAAUGCGCAGAGAUAUGGAGGAACACCAGUGGCGAAGGCGACUUUCUGGUCUGUAACUGACGCUGAUGUGCGAAAGCGUGGGGAUCAAACAGG
rnacentral:rRNA from 1 species